rnacentral:rRNA from 1 species
CCUACGGGAGGCAGCAGUGAGGAAUAUUGGUCAAUGGGCGCUAGCCUGAACCAGCCAAGUAGCGUGAAGGAUGACUGCCCUAUGGGUUGUAAACUUCUUUUAUAUGGGAAUAAAGUGCAGUAUGUAUACUGCUUUGCAUGUACCUUAUGAAUAAGGAUAGGCUAACUCCGUGCCAGCAGCCGCGGUAAUACGGAGGAUACGAGCGUUAUCCGGAUUGAUUGGGUUUAAAGGGAGCGUAGAUGGGUUGUUAAGUCAGUUGUGAAAUUUUGUGGCUCAACCGUAAAAUUGCAAUUGAUACUGGCAGCCUUGAGUACAGUUGAGGUAGGCGGAAUUCGUGGUGUAGCGGUGAAAUGCUUAGAUAUCACGAAGAACUCCGAUUGCGAAGGCAGCUUACUAAACUUCCACUGACAUUGAUGCUCGAAAGUGUGGGUAUCAAACAGGAUUAGAUACCCUUGUAGUC